UGCCAGCCGCCGCGGUAAUACAUAGGCUCCAAGCGUUGUUCGGAAUUAUUGGGCGUAAAGGGCGCGCAGGCGGUCUUGUCCGUCAGGUGUGAAAGCUCGGGGCUCAACCCCGGAAGUGCACUUGAAACAGCAAGACUUGAAUACGGUAGAGGAGAGAGGAAUUCCUGGUGUAGCGGUGAAAUGCGUAGAGAUCUGAAGGAACAUCAGUGGCGAAGGCGACGCUCUGGCCCGUAACUGACGCUCAUGCACGAAAGCCAGGGGAGCGAACGGGAUUAGAUA
rnacentral:rRNA from 1 species